AGACCCGAAACCCGGUGAUCUAGCCAUGGGCAGGUUGAAGGUUGGGUAACACUAACUGGAGGACCGAACCGACUAAUGUUGAAAAAUUAGCGGAUGACUUGUGGCUGGGGGUGAAAGGCCAAUCAAACCGGGAGAUAGCUGGUUCUCCCCGAAAGCUAUUUAGGUAGCGCCUCGUGAAUUCAUCUCCGGGGGUAGAGCACUGUUUCGGCAAGGGGGUCAUCCCGACUUACCAACCCGAUGCAAACUGCGAAUACCGGAGAAUGUUAUCACGGGAGACACACGGCGGGUGCUAACGUCCGUCGUGAAGAGGGAAACAACCCAGACCGCCAGCUAAGGUCCCAAAGUCAUGGUUAAGUGGGAAACG
rnacentral:rRNA from 1 species